rnacentral:rRNA from 1 species
CCUGAUCAGCAUGCCGCGUGUGGGAUGAAGGCCCUCGGGUUGUAAACCACUUUUGGCAGGAAAGAAAUCGCCUGUGCUAAUACCAUGGGCGGAUGACGGUACCUGCAGAAUAAGCACCGGCUAACUACGUGCCAGCAGCCGCGGUAAUACGUAGGGUGCGAGCGUUAAUCGGAAUUACUGGGCGUAAAGCGUGCGCAGGCGGUUUUGUAAGACAGAUGUGAAAUCCCCGGGCUUAACCUGGGAACUGCAUUUGUGACUGCAAGACUAGAGUGUGUCAGAGGGAGGUGGAAUUCCGCGUGUAGCAGUGAAAUGCGUAAAGAUGCGGAAGAACACCGAUGGCGAAGGCAGCCUCCUGGGAUAACACUGACGCUCAGGCACGAAAGCGUGGGGAGCAAACAGGAUUAGAUACCCUGGUAGUCCACGCCCUAAACGAUGUCAACUAGUUGUUGGGGAUUCAUUUCCUUAGUAACGUAGCUAACGCGUGAAGUUGACCGCCUGGGGAGUACGGCCGCAAGGUUAAAACUCAAAGG